UCUCCCCAGGGAUAUUUAAGGCUUGGCUGCAGCAACUCGCGUAGGCAGAUAGGGGCUGGAAUUGAAUCGGUAGGGUAGAUUGACUACUGGCAGCAUCAGCAGAGCUUCAGACCACGUUGACAGCACAUCUGCUCGGCUCUGCCCUGGCAGUGGUUCUGGCAGGCGCUGAGGUGGCUACUUCAAAGUUAGCAGGAACACGCUUCAUUUUGCCCAGAGUGAGAUGGAUCGAGAGUCUCAGAGAUGGAAAACAGUGGAUCUGGAUCAGUUCUGAACGUCUGCAAUGAAAUAUUUCAGAACACAUUGACAUUUAGGGCAGCUGAAGUUCUGAAGCCCUUUUUAGAGCAGCCGGUAACUUGAUGCUCCCGAAAGCUGUUUUUUUCAGACCCAGGCAUGACAUGAGAAAUCAAUGUGAUUAGCAAGGAGAGGCAUGUUCUUAGAAGAGACGCAGAGCACCCAAGGUUAUUCCUAGAGGAGUCAUCAUCUAGCGGUUCGUGCACUGUAGGAAACAGCUUCUGAAAAGUUAAGAUUGAACCUGGCUUUCACCGCUGCAGCCACCACAGCUCCUCCAGUGCAUCCAGGCUAAGGGCGGCAAGCGCGCUCUCUGCAGCGGGCUCUGUCGCUGAAGAAUGUUUCAGAAUGAUGGUAAAUGGAACUGUUAUCUCGUCCUGUCUGCUCACAACUCCUGGUUGAGUUCUUAAGAACUGGAGUGAAAGCUGGAGACUUGCACUCUCCCCAUCCCCUGUAAACUAUUUCUGAGCAUGGCUCCUGGAAUCUGAAAGUUAUAUUUAUUCACUGAGUAAUAACGUUAGCAGUGCCAAUAGCAAUAGGAAGUUCACAGUAAGAGUUCUGGUAUAUAAAAAUAGUUGGGUUACAGCAAUAAAUAACAUCAGUUGCGCUCUUAAAACAACAGCAUUCUGAUUCAGUUUGUUUUGGAAUGCUAGAUGAGUAAAUAUGCUUCUUUCAGCUAUGUCUGUAUAUCACUCCCUGUAAUCAGCACCGUGUAUGUGCCCUUAAGAGAAAACUUGGCCUUGUCUGUAGAUGAGUGAGAGGAGCCACAGUAUCAGGGACAGGAUCGUAACGUACUAGAAUAACCUCGGCCAGUUAUGGUCUGCGGCACUUGGAUGCAUCUAGGCUAGCAGGUACACUAUUAAAAGGUUUAAACACCAUUCCGUUUAAUCAUUAGCAUCAAUCAACAGAGCAGGUUAAGCAGCAUUGGAAAGAAAUAAACAAUACACAAUUCGGAUGUGUUAUCUACCGGGCCUGCCCGAGUUGAGGGAACUCACAGAGUGUGCUGUCAAACUGCUUUGCAGGAGUUUGGACAUCAGCUUCUCAUAUGAUUGUUACAAAAUCAAAGUAUUCAAGCCAUUCUCCUGUAAAUUCUCAG